GGGCAAUGCUGCUUCUUCUGACUCAACAAAUGGGGAGAGCAAAUUGAAAAUGCGUAAAUUGGAAGGCAAGUUCUGAAAUUAAACGUUGUACUUUGGCCUGAUGUUCUGACCUUUAAGGAAGCAAGAGUUUGUAAACUUCCAAAUAUUUACUAUUCUGAACUGCCGUGUAAACCUGACGUAUUCCCAAGUCAACAUACCAGUAUACCAAUAGGAUGUGAAUAAUGUGUGUGUUGAGUUUAAAACCAUAGCAGUUUUGCUCUGGCAAGUAAUGAAAGCGUUCUCGCUUCCUGAGUGUGAGCUCCAGCAGACUGCAGAGUGGCCAGUCCACAGUUGUAGCCUGACUUCAGUGAGUUCUGAUGUGUGCUUUUUGCAAAUACAUGUUCUCAGAACAGUGAGAUCAUCCAGCAGUGGCCUGGACUGCACUCACAUAAAAAUCAUGAGACAGUCAUGGCUACUUGUUUCUGUAAUACAUGCAUGUGUGUUUUUUAAAACCUAUGAUAGGCCUCUGAUUCUGCAGCUGCAACUUUUAUGGAAUGUUUUCCUUCUCCACAUCUCAUGUGAUGCUCUUAUUACAGGACACAGCAUUGUUGGUUUUGCCAUGUACUAUUUUACCUAUGACCCGUGGAUUGGCAAGUUAUUGUAUCUUGAGGACUUCUUCGUGAUGAGUGAUUAUAGAGGCUUUGGCAUAGGAUCAGAAAUUCUGAAGAAUCUAAGCCAGGUUGCAAUGAGGUGUCGCUGCAGCAGCAUGCACUUCUUGGUAGCAGAAUGGAAUGAACCAUCCAUCAACUUCUAUAAAAGAAGAGGUGCUUCUGAUCUGUCCAGUGAAGAGGGUUGGAGACUGUUCAAGAUCGACAAGGAGUACUUGCUAAAAAUGGCAACAGAGGAGUGAGGAGUGCUGGUGUAGAUGACAACCUCCAUUCUAUUUUAGAAUAAAUUCCCAACUUACCUUGCUUUCUAUGCUGUUUGUAGUGAAAUAAUAGAAUGAGCACCCAUUCCAAAGCUUUAUUACCAGUGGCGUUGUUGCAUGUUUGAA
rnacentral:sRNA from 1 species